ACUAAUCGUUGCGAUGAUAUCUUUCGUUAUCUGUAAUUUGAAUCGUGUUAAUAAAAGAAUUCACUGAGCAAGAUGUGAAUCGGAGCGGGACGUAUUAUCCUGAAGUAGACUAUACGUUGUAAAUAUUAUUUAAGGUAAAGAAUUUCAUCUCCAAAUUGCAAGUGGCCCAUGGAAAUUCUUCAUCCAAAGAACAAUGAAAACUCAUUUGUUAUACUUAUUAAUAAGAGAAAUUAUAUUAUUUUGUUAGAUUAUAUUGCAUUAUUAUACAAAUAACAAUAUAUUACCUUUAUAUCAUUCUGUACAGCUUGAAUUACGUUUAAUAAGUUGAAAAAUACAAGAAAA